GAUGAACGCUGGCGGCGGGCCUAAUACAUGCAAGUCGAGCGAACGGACGAGAAGCUUGCGUUUCUGAUGUUAGCGGCUGACGGGUGAGUAACACGUGGAUAACCUACCUAUAAGACUUGGAUAAUUUCGGGAAACCGGAGCUAAUACCGGAUAAUAUUUUGAACCGCAUGGUUCAAAAGAGAAAGACGGUCUUGCUGUUACUUAUAGAUGGAUCCGCGCUGCAUUAGCUAGUUGGUAAGGUAACGGCUUACCAAGGCAACGAUGCAUAGCCGACCUGAGAGGGUGAUCGGCCACACUGGAACUGAGCCACGGUCCAGACUCCUACGGGAGCCAGCAGUAGGGAAUAUUCCGCAAAGGGCGAAAGCCUGACGGAGCAACGCCGCGUGAGUGAAGAAGGUCUUCGGAUCGUAAAACUCUGUUAUUGGGGAAGAACAUAUGUGUAAGUAACUCUGCACAUUUUGCCGUUACCUAAUCAGAAAGCCACGGCUAACUACGUG
rnacentral:rRNA from 1 species